rnacentral:rRNA from 1 species
AUUGAACGCUGGCGGCAUGCUUUACACAUGCAAGUCGAACGGCAGCACGGACUUCGGUCUGGUGGCGAGUGGCGAACGGGUGAGUAAUACAUCGGAACGUGCCCAGUUGUGGGGGAUAACUACUCGAAAGAGUAGCUAAUACCGCAUGAGAACUGAGGUUGAAAGCAGGGGAUCGCAAGACCUUGCGCAACUGGAGCGGCCGAUGGCAGAUUAGGUAGUUGGUGGGAUAAAAGCUUACCAAGCCGACGAUCUGUAGCUGGUCUGAGAGGACGACCAGACACACUGGGACUUAGACACGGCCCAGACUCCUACGGGAGGCAGCAGUGGGGAAUUUUGGACAAUGGGCGAAAGCCUGAUUCAGCAAUGCCGCGUGCAGGAUGAAGGCCUUCGGGUUGUAAACUGCUUUUGUACGGAACGAAAAGCUUCGGGUUAAUACCCUGGAGUCAUGACGGUACCGUAAGAAUAAGCACCGGCUAACUACGUGCCAGCAGCCGCCGUAACAC